GUCCCUGUAGCGCAAGGGACAGCGCGUUGAACGUCUCAUCCAAAGGUCGUGGAUUCCAAUCCCAUCAGGGAUG